GUGGGGAAUAUUCCGCAAUGGACGAAAGUCUGACGGAGCAACGCCGCGUGAGUGAUGAAGGUUUUCGGACUGUAAAGCUCUGUUGUUUAGGACGAAAGUGCCUGUUGCGAAUAGUUACAGGUAUUGACGGUACUGAACGAGGAAGCCACGGCUAACUACGUGCCAGCAGCCGCGGUAAUACGUAGGUGGCAAGCGUUGUCCGGAAUUAUUGGGCGGAAAGAGCAUGUAGGCGGGAAUCUAAGUCUGUUGUGAAAAUGCGGGGCUCAACCCCGUAUUGCGAUGGAAACUGGGUUUCUUGAGUGCAGGAGAGGAAAGGGGAAUUCCCAGUGUAGCGGUGAAAUGCGUAGAUAUUGGGAGGAACACCAGUGGCGAAGGCGCCUUUCUGGACUGUGUCUGACGCUGAGAUGCGAAAGCCAGGGUAGCGAACGGGAUUAGAAACCCUGGUAGUCC
rnacentral:rRNA from 1 species